GUUUGUGUAUGGAAGUAGUGUGCGGUGUGAGUAUAUGACUAUUAAUAUGUGUUUGUCGGUGUUACAUGGCGUGUUUGUGUAUGGAGGUAGUGUGCGGUGUGAGUAUAUGAAUAUUAAUAUGUGUUUGUCGGUGUUACAUGGCGUGUUUGUGUAUGGAGGUAGUGUGCGGUGUGAGUAUAUGACUAUUAGUAUGUGUUUGUUAAUGUUACAUGGCGUGUUUGUGUACGGAGGUAGUGUGCAGAGAGUAUAUGACUAUUAAUAUGUGUUUGUCGGUGUUACAUGGCGUGUUUGUGUAUGGAGGUAGUGUGCGGUGUGAGUAUAUGACUAUUAAUAUGUGUUUGUCGGUGUUACAUGGCGUGUUUGUGUAUGGAGGUAGUGUGCGGUGUGAGUAUAUGACUAUUAAUAUGUGUUUGUCGUGGUGUUACAUGCAUGGCGUAUGGAGGUAGUGUGCGGUGUGAGUAUAUGACUAUUAGUAUGUGUUUGUCGGUGUUACAUGGCGUGUUUGUGUAUGGAGGUAGUGUGCAGAGAGUAUAUGACUAUUAAUAUGUGUUUGUCGGUGUUACAUGGCGUGUUUGUGUAUGGAGGUAGUGUGCGGUGUGAGUAUAUGACUAUUAGUAUGUGUUUGUCGGUGUUACAUGGCGUGUUUGUGUAUGGAGGUAGUGUGCGGUGUGAGUAUAUGACUAUUAGUAUGUGUUUGUCAGUGUUACAUAGCGAGUUUGUGUAUGGAGGUAGUGUGCGGUGUGAGUAUAUGACUAUUAAUAUGUGUUUGUCGGUGUUACAUGGCGUGUUUGUGUAUGGAGGUAGUGUGCGGUGUGAGUAUAUGACUAUUAGUAUGUGUUUGUCGGUGUUACAUGGCGUGUUUGUGUAUGGAGGUAGUGUGCAGAGAGUAUAUGACUAUUAAUAUGUGUUUGUCGGUGUUACAUGGCGUGUUUGUGUAUGGAGGUAGUGUGCGGUGUGAGUAUAUGACUAUUAGUAUGUGUUUGUCGGUGUUACAUGGCGUGUUUGUG